rnacentral:misc_RNA from 1 species
UUUCCGUAGGUGAACCUGCGGAAGGAUCAUUCAUAAUAAGUGUUUUAUGGCACUUUUUUAAAUCCAUAUCCACCAUGUGUGCAAUGUCAGGGUUGGUCUCUUUUUGAUCAGCCCCAAACAUCAACUAUUAUCUCAACUCUUUGUCUGAAAAAUAUUAUGAAUAAAACAAUUCAAAAUACAACUUUCAACAACGGAUCUCUUGGCUCUC